UCAAGAGAGAUUUACAUCUUGACCUCUUCAGUCGCUCACUUAAUGGCUUUUCUGUCUGACUGUGUCGUCUUUGUGUUUUUGGGACAAGCACACAAUGAACACACAGGUGGGUUGACCAUUUCUUGGACAAAUCUUCUGGGACUGAAUCACUUUAUCCAGUGUUUGUUUUUGGCUGUUGUCUUGUGAUUGAGGGGACGCUGAAUUAGACGCUGCUAUUCUAUUGACAAAUUGCCACAUAGAAAGACAUACAACAUUAUGAUUUGAUAAAAAGAGAUGAUAUCGAAGGUUAUGCUCUUAUCUGUUGUUAACAAAGAGAUGAUAUCGAAGGUUAUGCUCUUAUCUGUUGUUAACAAAGAGAUGAUAUCGAAGGUUAUGCUCUUAUCUGUUGUUAACAAAGAGAUGAUAUCGAAGGUUAUGCUCUUAUCUGUUGUUAACAAAAGAGAUGAUAUCGAAGGUUAUGCUCUUAUCUGUUGUUAACAAAGAGAUGAUAUCGAAGGUUAUGCUCUUAUCUGUUGUUAACAAAAGAGAUGAUAUCGAAGGUUAUGCUCUUAUCUGUUGUUAACAAAAGAGAUGAUAUCGAAGGUUAUGCUCUUAUCUGUUGUUAACAAAAGAGAUGAUAUCGAAGGUUAUGCUCUUAUCUGUUGUUAACAAAGAGAUGAUAUCGAAGGUUAUGCUCUUAUCUGUUGUUAACAAAGAGAUGAUAUCGAAGGUUAUGCUCUUAUCUGUUGUUAACAAAAGAGAUGAUAUCGAAGGUUAUGCUCUUAUCUGUUGUUAACAAAAGAGAUGAUAUCGAAGGUUAUGCUCUUAUCUGUUGUUAACAAAGAGAUGAUAUCGAAGGUUAUGCUCUUAUCUGUUGUUAACAAAAGAGAUGAUAUCGAAGGUUAUGCUCUUAUCUGUUGUUAACAAAAGAGAUGAUAUCGAAGGUUAUGCUCUUAUCUGUUGUUAACAAAAGAGAUGAUAUCGAAGGUUAUGCUCUUAUCUGUUGUUAACAAAGAGAUGAUAUCGAAGGUUAUGCUCUUAUCUGUUGUUAACAAAAGAGAUGAUAUCGAAGGUUAUGCUCUUAUCUGUUGUUAACAAAGAGAUGAUAUCGAAGGUUAUGCUCUUAUCUGUUGUUAACAAAGAGAUGAUAUCGAAGGUUAUGCUCUUAUCUGUUGUUAACAAAGAGAUGAUAUCGAAGGUUAUGCUCUUAUCUGUUGUUAACAAAGAGAUGAUAUCGAAGGUUAUGCUCUUAUCUGUUGUUAACAAAAGAGAUGAUAUCGAAGGUUAUGCUCUUAUCUGUUAUUAACAAAAGCACCGGAAGUUCUUUGGGGUUCCAGGGUUCACUUCCGCUCCUCUUCAAAACGCUGUUAAAAACAUGUAUUUCAAAGGUUAUGGUCUCUUAACAAGCAAUUCAACACUUCCGAAUAGAAGAAGGUCGUUACACAGAAUCUAUUGCUUAAUCUCGUGAGUUAUUAGUUAUUUAUCACCCGAGAAUUGUGCUAUCCAGACAAAAUACUAGAUAGGUGAUUGGCUUUGUAUCUUUAAACAGGAAAAACGAAUUUCUGUGUUAUCUGUUGUCAUUCCUCUUCCAUAUA